CCUGGGCUACACACGUGCUACAAUGGUUGGUACAACGAGUUGCGAGUCGGUGACGGCGAGCUAAUCUCUUAAAGCCAAUCUCAGUUCGGAUUGUAGGCUGCAACUCGCCUACAUGAAGUCGGAAUCGCUAGUAAUCGCGGAUCAGCACGCCGCGGUCGAAUACGUUCCCGGGCCUU
rnacentral:rRNA from 1 species